rnacentral:rRNA from 1 species
GAUGAACGCUGGCGGCGUGCCUAAUACAUGCAAGUCGAGCGAACGGACGAUAAGCUUGCUUCUCUGAUGUUAGCGGCGGACGGGUGAGUAACACGUGUAUAACCUACCUAUAAUACGGGUAUAACUUCGGGAAACCGGCGCUAAUACCGUAUAAUAUUUUGAACCGCAUGGGUCAAAAGUGAAAUACGGUCUUUCGGGCACUUAUAGAUGGAUCCGCGCUGCAUUAGAUAGUUGGUAAGGUAACGGCUUACCAAGGCAACGAGGCAUAGCCGACCUGAGAGGCUGAUCGGCCACACGAGAACUGAGACAGGGACCAGACUCCUAAGGGACGGCGCAGAAGGGAAUCUUACGCAAUGGGCGAGAGCAUGACGGAGCAACGCCGCGUGAGUGAUGACGGUCUUCGGAGCGUAAAACUCUGUUACUAGUGAAGAACAGAUGUGUAAGUAACUGUGCACAUCGUGACGGUACUUAAUAAGAAAGCCCCGGCUAACUACGUG